UACGUAGGGGGCAAGCGUUGUCCGGAUUUAUUGGGCGUAAAGAGCGUGUAGGCGGCCGUACAGGUCAGCUGUGAAAACUCGAGGCUCAACCUCGAGACGUCGGUUGAAACCGUACGGCUAGAGUCCGGAAGAGGAGAGUGGAAUUCCCGGUGUAGCGGUGAAAUGCGCAGAUAUCGGGAAGAACACCCGUGGCGAAGGCGGCUCUCUGGGCCUUACCUGACGCUGAGGAGCGAAAGCGUGGGGAGCGAACAGG
rnacentral:rRNA from 1 species